rnacentral:rRNA from 1 species
GUAAGGAAUAUUGGGCAAUGGGCGCAAGCCUGACCCAGCCAUGCCGCGUGCAGGAUUGACGGCCCUAUGGGUUGUAAACUGCUUUUGUAUGGGAAAAAACCCCCGGUCGCGUACCGGGGCUGAUGUUACCAUAAGAAUAAGCAUCGGCUAACUCCGUGCCAGCAGCCGCGGUAAUACGGAGGAUGCAAGCGUUAUCCGGAUUUAUUGGGUUUAAAGGGUGCGCAGGCGGAACGUUAAGUCAGUGGUGAAAUCCUACAGCUCAACUGUAGAACUGCCAUUGAUACUGUCGUUCUUGAGUAUAGUUGGAGUGUGCGGAAUGUAUCAUGUAGCGGUGAAAUGCAUAGAUAUGAUACAGAACACCAAUCGCGAAGGCAGCUCACUAAGCUAUAACUGACGCUCAGGCACGAAAGCGUGGGGAUCAAACAGGAUUAGAAACCCGUGUAGUCC